rnacentral:lncRNA from 10 species
CUAGAAUAUUCAGAACUCCGGUGUAACUAAAUGAUCCUCAAGCUUUACCAGCAGGUGAGCAAGGUCCCAUUGUAUUUGGUACUCACAUCCCCACCAAUUCUGUAAAAGUUUGCCAACUUUCCCCUCCAUCCCCUGCACCCUUUCACCAAAAGAUAUGCCUAAGAGUUCCCAAGAGACGUCUAACAUAGGCCUGCAUGUCAGCCCAGUCUUCUGGGCUGAGCUGCUGCACUGUUGCUGGCCUUGAUGGCUGAACCUGAUCUCUGUUGUGGCACCCACCACUCUUUCUCAAGCCUUGACACCUUGGCAGGCUUUGGCAAAAAGAGGAGAGCUGUUCUUCCUCGGCAUUAUGUUCACUUAGCAGGGUCCCACAGCAGGAUUGCUUGGACCCCAGAGUAUUGUAGGGCUUAAUAAGACCAGCCCUUUCAUCUCACACGCUCUAUCCUUUCUCUCACUGGUGCACCCACGUCAGGUGUCUUGAGUGGGGAGUGCUCGAAUAUCUGCCACCAGCUUGAGUCAGAACCUCGACUUCCCUCAGCUUUUCAGGGUCUGUUACUGAGUCUGGUCCACACUCCAGGGUCUUUUCCUCACGGUCUGGGUCUGGUCUUUUUCAGGUGCCUACCUUUCCUCCCUGCAAACUGCCUUGAGUUGCCUCCCCUUCUCCCUUCCUUCCUGGUCUGUCAGAGACAUCUUGUCUGGGUGCAUAUUUGAACCCCAUCAGUAGACAGAAAACAUGUAUUUCCUUGAAGGCCCCUCAGACCCCAGGUACAAACAUUGAAGUAAAUAACAGCAGGGAUGGGGGUUCUGCCUCGCUUCACCUGCCAGCCACGUGCAGACCUUGUUUCAGUCCAACUGAGACUUUAGCAAGUGCUUCAUUCUGGUUUGUGAAUGGCUUCCCAGUGUCUGUCACUGUGUUCACAGGGCCACCGGGGUUGGCUGAGUCAGAAUACCAGCCAUGUGGCAUGUCGCAUGGGGCAAGAGCUGUGCUGCCCAUGGGAGUCCAGAGAAGGAGCACACUAAGGACCAACACCAGACUCCUCUCCAUUGGAUCUCUAGCACCUAGAAUAGAGCUGGGUACACAUGAUGAGGUGCUUAAUACGUAUUUGUCAAAUUGAAUGUCAAGUUUUAGGAGUUUAAAGAGUGUUUUCAAAUGGGGAGAAGCCGAGACACAAAUAGUCUCAGGAAUGAGAUGAAAUUAUUUAACCAAUUGGAGAUGAAAUUCGAAAUGGAAACUAUGACAUGACUCAACAUCCUCAAGCCCUGAAGUAAUAAUUAGCACAUAAAGUUGGUCUGUUAUGGACUUUGUGUUGUGCUCCCUGCAAAAUUGGAUACAGAGAGAAGACAGCUGUCUGCAAACCAGAAAGAGAGUCCUCACUGCACUUCAUAUCUGCCAAUGGAUCCUUGCUCUUGAACCUCCCAACCUGCAGAAUCAUGAGAAACAAACAUUGUGUAAGCCACCCACUCUACAGUAAUUUGUUCUAGCAGACCGAGCUGACUGAGCAUUUGCUCUAGGGGAAGCCUGCAGCUAUGUCAUGAGGACCCUCAACAGCCCUGUGCAGAGGACUAUGUGGCAUGAAAGAUACCUUCUGCCAACAACCAGCCCCAACUUGCCAAGCAUGUGAACAAGCUAAACUGAAAGCAGAUCUUCAGCCCCAAUCAAGCCUUCAGAUGACAGUAACCUCAGCCAAUAUACUGACUAUAACCUCAUAAAAGACCCUGAACCAGAACCCUCUAAGCCACUCUCAAACUCUACCCCACAUAAACUGUGAAAUAAUAUAUGUUUAUUGUUAUUUUGGGCCACUAAGUUUAGGGGUAAUUUGUUAUGCAGCAAUUAUAUAACCAAUAUUCCAACUAAAGCUGAAAUGCCUCCUGCAUUUCCUCCCUCAGUGGCCUACACUACAAUCCAAGUUCAGGAAAAAACGAGAACCUUAUUUAAGGUAGUGGCAAGAAAUGAAUGGAUUAACUGGACAUUUAAAAAGUAUUUGAUAGAACUUGGUGAUAGGAGGUGGGGCAGUUAGGGACUAGCAGGAAUUUAGGAUGAGAGGCUCAUUCAGUUGGGCUUAUGUUUUACUGAGGUCAAUUCCAAAAGGAAGGAAAGAAAAAUCCAGCCAAAUAACCUUUAAUGGACUAAGUCUUCUUUCAUAAGUCAGUUUGCACAACUUCUUCACAGGAAUCAGAUUUUAAAUAUCAUAACUGAAGAGAAAAAAAACAGCAAGAGGAGUUUACCUUUAUGGUGGAAUGACACUAAUCUUUCAUGCUUUCAAAUUUCUUGAAAUUUCCUUCGUAUGCAUUAUCUUAUUUGCUGUUCACAGUAAAACUGUGUAUUGGCUAAGCCAGUUUUUAUGAAAAUAUAAGCAGUGAGAAAAAGUAAGAUAGUAUGUCAGUUAGUAGAUUUUUUUAUGGACAUUGUGACAGAGGACACAACUUAAACUGGCUUUUUUUUUUUUUUUUUUUUUUUUGAGACAGAGUUUUGCUCUUGUUGCCCAGGCUGGAGUGCAAUGGCACGAUCUCGGCUCACUGCAACCUCCGCCCCCUGGGUUCAAGUGAUUCUCCUGCCUCAGCCUCCCGAGUAGCUGGAAACACAGGUGCCUGCCACCGCGUCCGGCUAAUUUUUUGUAUUUUUAGUAGAGAUGGAGUUUCACCAUGUUGGCCAGGCUAGUCUCAAACUCCUGACCUCAGGUGAUCCACCUGCCUCAGCCUCCCAAACUGCUGGGAUUACAGGUGUGAGCCACCGCACCUGGCAAAAGGGUUUUGUUUCUAAAGGUACAAGAACAGGUACAGCUUCGGGUCAGUGUGAUUCAGCCCUCAACAAAGCCACCAGGAUCCAUUUCUUGGCUCUGCUUCAUUGCUUCUCAUAGGCUGGCUCAUUCUCAGACUGUACGUGAUAUGGUUCAGUGGCUUUAGGCUCCAAGCAUGACAACACCCAACACUCAGAUUGAUGGAGCUAGAGCAAGUCUCUUCAGGCAGCGUCUAGGAAAGUUCUGAAAUUCACUCUGAUUGGCUGCCCAUCUCUGAAUCAACCACGUAACCCAAGGAAAUAGGAACUGCUGAUGGGUCAGGGUCGGUUCACAUGCUUCAUACCUGGAGCUGAGAAGACAUCAACUCCAUCCUGGAGCUCAUGGGCUGUGACUAGAGCAGACGGAGUUCUCAGAGGAAAGUCAGAGUACAGUUAUCAAAGCAAGCAGUUACAGAUGCUAGAUGACCAAAAUCCAAUAACUGCCCAGUAAAAAUAUUAUACUAAAAUCUAGGAACAUGUGGCUGAUGGACAGUCAUUACCAGGAAAAAAAAGUUGUUAGGUCUAAAUGUAAAAAUUGAGGCAAAGAAAGUGCCCGAGCUAGAAUUAGAACCCUGACUACCUGAAUAUUAGAUCGGUUAGUGCCACUUCUACCCUACCGCUGCUGAGGGGGGAGGUGAACAGUCUCUCAGGUUGCAGACAGUGGAUGGUUUCCCUCCCUCUAUCUUCUCAUUUCAUGGUGGAGCUGAAUCAUCCUAUGUUCUACAUGCUGACAGUGGAAGGUUAUGACCAUACCCAUAUCCUGUUGUCUCUGAGUCUCCUGUGGUGCAGAGAUCCCUGAGACUUGUAGAACAGAACCUGAGUGGAAAGUGGGAGGGGGAUUGGGGGUGGUUCCCACGAAUCAAGCAGCAACCUGGAGACAAGGAACACCUGCAACCUCAGCAGUGGAUCAGAACGGCUGACUGAGCAAUGGACAUACUGUGCAUCUUUCAUUAGUGCUGAGACCAACUUCUAGCUUGGAGUCCCAUGAAAGGGAAACUUAGCCCUAACACCACAACAAGGAGCACAGUGUCAAGUGGGGACAUUGCAGCAGAGUUGCCGCAAAGACUCUGAAGUGCUAUGGGAAGGGAUAUUUCCUAGGAGGGGUUAAAGGGAUUCUCCUUAAGAAGGGGGCUGGGGGAAUCUGAGUAAGAGGUGGGGGAAAGCAGCCAAAGCAUGAUACUUAGUCAUAGCAUCACAAGAAUUUGACUCAGAGUUCCUACAAGGUUGUCCUAAAAUGCCCUGGUUCAGGUGGGUCAGCUUUGAAAGCACCCAAAUUACCCCGUUUUCUGUACUAUGUUUAAAGGCAAUUUGAAAGAAAGACCCCUAAUUUGGAAACAUGUGCUAAGGCUAAAUCACUUUUUCAACUGAAAAUUCUUUUUUAUGUAUUGUUACACUCCAUUUUCUGUCUUGUGUUUUUUGUUGUUG